rnacentral:antisense_RNA from 1 species
CACCAUGCCAAGGCUGAGGACCAGAUACACCAUGCCGAGGCUGAGGACCAGAUACACCAUGCCGAGGCUGAGGACCAGAUACACCAUGCCGAGGCUGAGGACCAGAUACACCAUGCCGAGGCUGAGGACCAGAUACACUAUGCCGAGGCUGAGGACCAGAUACAUCUCCUUCCUGUCUUCAGGGCAAUGAAUGAAGGAGAAGGAAAGUAGUUCUCAGGAAGUUUAUGAAUUUUUGUUUUCCAAAAGCUUUACUCAUAAAUAAGUAGAUUUUAAACCAAGAAAUCAUUCACUGCUGAAAGGAGUAUCAGCAACUUUCAAGAAGGGCAAUUAGGUCGUAUCUAUCAAAAGACAAACGACAAAUGCUUAUAGCUGUGGCCCAGCUUUUCUAAUUCUGGGAAUUAUCUCACAGUAAAUAUAGAUGUUAUUCA